GCAGCCGCGGUAAUACAGAGGUCUCAAGCGUUGUUCGGAAUCACUGGGCGUAAAGGGUACGUAGGCUGCAAAGUAAGUCGUGCGUGAAAGGCAGGGGCUCAACCUCUGGAGUGCGCGUGAUACUGCUUUGCUAGAGUAAUGGAGGGGGAACUGGAAUUCUUGGUGUAGCAGUGAAAUGCGUAGAUAUCAAGAAGAAGACUCGUGGCGAAGGCGAGUUCCUGGACAUUUACUGACGCUGAGGUACGAAGGCUAGGGUAGCGAAAGGGAUUAGAUACCCC
rnacentral:rRNA from 1 species